rnacentral:rRNA from 1 species
UACAGAGGGUGCAAGCGUUGUUCGGAAUUACUGGGCGUAAAGCGCGUGUAGGUGGUCUUGUAAGUCAGAUGUGAAAUCCCCGGGCUUAACCCGGGACCUGCAUUUGAUACUGCAAAACUAGAGUGCCAGAGGGGAUGGUGGAAUUCCAAGUGUAGAGGUGAAAUUCGUAGAUAUUUGGAGGAACACCUGUGGCGAAGGCGGCCAUCUGGAUGGUAACUGACACUGAGACGCGAAAGCAUGGGUAGCAAACAGG